rnacentral:rRNA from 1 species
GAUGAACGCUGGCGGCGUGCCUAAUACAUGCAAGUCGAGCGAGCAGAUGAGGAGCUUGCUCCUCUGACGUUAGCGGCGGACGGGUGAGUAACACGUGGAUAACCUACCUAUAAGACUGGGAUAACUUCGGGAAACCGGAGCUAAUACCGGAUAAUAUAUUGAACCGCAUGGUUCAAUAGUGAGAGACGGUUUUGCUGUCACUUAUAGAUGGAUCCGCGCCGCAUUAGCUAGUUGGUAAGGUAACGGCUUACCAAGGCAACGAUGCGUAGCCGACCUGAGAGGGUGAUCGGCCACACUGGAACUGAGACACGGUCCAGACUCCUACGGGAGGCAGCAGUAGGGAAUCUUCCGCAAUGGGCGAAAGCCUGACGGAGCAACGCCGCGUGAGUGAUGAAGGUCUUCGGAUCGUAAAACUCUGUUAUUAGGGAAGAACAAAUGUGUAAGUAACUAUGCACGUCUUGACGGUACCUAAUCAGAAAGCCACGGCUAACUACGUG